UGUUUAUGUAUACAUACACACAUUUAACAGCAGGACUGUCAGUACUUACUAAUUUAGUAGUUUGACUCAGCUCGUGCUUUCAUUGGGAUCUAUUUCCUGCAAAUUAAGAACAUAUGUGUUAGUAUGGGAACAUACAAGAAGGUACUUACUUAAACAACAAUAUUUUUAUUUCAGGCUCCUUUGACUUUAACAUACACGAAUACUAAAUGGUGACAUUUCAUACCGUAUGACGCUGAUGACACAAACCCUGCUUCAGGCAAGAGGUGUAUUAUGGGAUGUGCCAAGGGCUGAGGUUCUGGUGUGCGUGUGCAGGGGGCGCUGCAAGCCAAGGUUUCUCGCGAGCUCUGCUCCAUUGCCACCUCCCCGCCCGAAAGGAGGGACGUGAAGAUGCACGCAUGUAAACAUACACAUGUGAGGAUGUAUGUACAUCCACACCCAUAAGGCUUUAUUAUGCAAAUAAAUGGAGUCUUAAGACUUUUGUGUAAGGAAGUAUCUGGAAAAUGC
rnacentral:lncRNA from 1 species